UUCAUUCCUCUUCUAUUGGAGUCUUGGUCUGCAGUUUCUUCCUGCAUACGCUCUUCUCCAUCAAUGGCCACUCGAACAGUCGGCCUCUCUUCCUCGCCUCUCCGUUCACUCACUUCAAGCUCGUCGCACCCUCCUCCGACAAGAAUUACUCCUACCCUCUCCUUCGCCUCCCGCCUUAAGCCUGCCCUCGCUCUCCCCUUGCUCUCUGCGACGCCUCGCCGCUCCGCCCGUCCUCGCUCCCCCCGCGUCUCCGCCGCGCUGAAGAACCUCUCCGAGACCGUGCCCGUGUCGGUGCCUGCUGAUUCCGGUGAGCUCGUGCGGAGAUUUCCCUCUGCCUCCGGUGUUUACGCCGUCCACGACGGCGAAGGCGGGCUUCAGUUCGUUGGAAUCUCGCGGAACAUCGCGGCCAGCAUCGCCGGUCACCGGAGAUCCGUCCCCGAGCUGUGCUGCUCCGUUAAGGUUGGUGUUGUUGAUGAACCUGAUAGAGCGGCUCUCACUCAAGCGUGGAAAUCAUGGAUGGAGGAACACAUGACAGCCACAGGGAAGGUUCCACCUGGAAAUGAAUCAGGAAAUACCACGUGGAUCCGGCAGCCACCCAAGAAGAAGCCUGACCUUCGCCUCACACCUGGCCGCCACAUGCAGUUAACCGUCCCUCUGGAGGAACUGAUUGAUCAGUUGGUCAAGGAGAACAAGGUGGUGGCUUUUAUUAAAGGAUCAAGAAGUGCUCCAAUGUGUGGGUUCUCUCAGAGGGUUAUCGGCAUCCUAGAAAGUGAAGGGGUGGAUUACGAGAGUGUUGAUGUGCUCGAUGAAGAGUAUAACUGUGGCUUGAGGGAGACGUUAAAGAAAUAUACUAAUUGGCCCACAUUUCCCCAGGUCUUUGUGGAUGGCGAAUUGGUAGGGGGCUGCGACAUCUUGUCCUCUAUGUUCGAGAAGGGUGAGCUCUCUAGCUUGUUCAAAAAGUAAAGCAUAGGAUUUUGCGCUACUACUUUCAUUUUGGAUCAGUUGUGGUGGAUGGGGUUGGCAGUCCAUGAGAUAUAGCAAGUGAAUGCUCAGAGAGCUCGCUAUGUAAGCAAUUAUUGAAGCAGAUCGAAUAGAAAUCAUCUCUCAGCAAGUUGUCUAGGCUUGGUCAAUUUUCCUCUUCUUGCCUACUUCAGCUUGAUCUUGGUAAGUUUUCUCCCUGCAUAUUGCUACUAUUCCUAUGAGUGUGAGAGGAUUCUAAGAGACUAGAAUGCAUGCUAUUUUUUGCACUGUUGGAAGGGUCACACAGGAUACUGUUUUAUCUUGUAGUAAUGUUUGCUUGAUGAGAGUUCAUUAUAUACUCGAUUAAUAUUUGCAAG